UUCUACCAGAGAAUCCCCACAGGUAAUGAAAGACUCCCGGAGCGGGGAGACCCUCACUCAAGUCUUGGGAUGAUGUGACCCCCCAAGAACUCACGUGAGAUC
rnacentral:pre_miRNA from 14 species